GAUGAACGCUGGCGGCGUGCCUAAUACAUGCAAGUCGAGCGAACUUUCGGGAGCUUGCUCCCAAAAGUUAGAGGCGGACGGGUGAGUAACACGUGGGGAACCUGCCUGUAAGAGUCGGAUAACAUCGGGAAACCGGAGCUAAUAUCGGAUAACAUAGUAGACAACAUGGCCUUCAAUUAAAAGAUGGCUUUUAGCUACCACUUACAGAUGGAUCCGCGGCGCAUUAGCUAGUUGGUGAGGUAACGGCUUACCAAGGCGACGAUGCGUAGCCGACCUGAGAGGGUGGACCGCCAACAUGGGAACUGGAACCGGCCCAGGCCCCCUACGGGGGCAACAAGAGGGGAAUUUCCGCAAUGGGCCGAAGGCUGGAGGAACAACGCCGGGGGGGGGGAGGAGGCCCUCGGGUCGUAAAGCUCUGUUGUUAGGGAAGAAAAAGUAGCGUACGAAUAGGGCGAUAUCUUGACGGUACCUAACCAGAAAGCCACGGCUAACUACGUG
rnacentral:rRNA from 1 species